AAGGUAUGAUGAGGGAAUUUCCUAAAAAUUUCCUUAAAUCUCUCAUAACUUUCAUAAAUUAACUCACCCUCAAACUGGGGAAAAAUAUGAUAUCAUUUCUAAGUUU